rnacentral:lncRNA from 1 species
CCUGGAGGUGGCGGAGUGACUCAACGCCGGUGCCCUCCCUGCCCCCAUGCCCGAGUGCUCAGCCCUCCCUUGCCGGGGCUCACCUAAUCCCCGCAGUGGGAGUCGGGGGGCAUCCGCGCAGGCCCAGGGCUAGGGUUGCAGCACGGUCACUUCACACUCGGCAGGCAGCAUGUGCAGCUGAGGCCCCUCUCCGGGCUGCAGACUCCCUCGAGGCGGGCAGCGAGGUCAGCCUGGCAGCCGCUGCCUCUCUCCAGCCCAGAUCUGGCCUCAGGCAGCCGGUUCCCGGACCCGAGGAAGUGAUGGCGGAACAGGAAGCCAGUGGGUUGCAGGUCCUGCUGCAAACACUCCAGAGUCUGAACCACCUUUAAGCAGUCGCUCUUGGCCCUCAAUACCAAAAUUAGACAACUGACCUCUUAGCACGAGGGUCUUCUCUUCACCUCAGUCUGACAUCACUGAAUGCCACAGGGUCAUAAACUUGGAAGGAACCUGAGAAAUCAUCUCUUCUUAUUCACUUAGUUGAAGCAUGAGGAAAACAAGUAAAGGCCACAGAAGGUAACUGCUUUAUCUAAAGUCAAUGGAAAAAUUGCAUUAGAACUAGGUUUACCGCCUCCAAGUCUGAUCUUUUGUCUGUUCUCUACCAUGUCAUUUGUAAGAAAUCUAUAAAAGAAGCUUGGAAAAAUCUCUGUAAUAUUUUGCAGUGUAAAUGGUUGGUUCAGAUCCUUGUUUGUUUAUUUGUUUUUUAACUGCCAUGCAUUCCAAAUUCAGUUUUUUAGAAAUGAAAUUUUCAGUGCUUUUUAUUGAUCUGCUUUUGAGAUUGGUUUGCAUUUCAGUUACUAUUGUCAUGUAGCAAAUUAUCCCAGUCUCAGUGGCUUAAACAUUUAUUUUGCUCACAGUUUGGAAAGGACUCAGCAGAGUAGCUCUUGCUUGGGGUCUCUUGUGUGUUUAAUUGGAAGUUGACCAGGGCCGCAAUUAUCUGAAGGUUCAACUCAUCUGGGCAUAUAAGAUUUCUUGCUCUUAUGAUUCAAAGCAGAUGCUGAGUGAUCCCAGCUGAGCUGAGAACUUAAUCGAGGCUGUUUACUAUCUACCAGUCACCAUGUGGGUCCUUCCACAUUGUCUGGGAUUUCUUAGGGUGGGCAGUAAAUUCACACGGUAGGUCAAGGCUCCAGAUGCGAAGAUCC